ensembl:snRNA U6 U6 spliceosomal RNA
UUGCUUCAGCAGCACAUAUGCUAAAAUUGGAACGAUACAGAGAAGAUUAACAUUGGCCCCUGCGCAAGGAUGACAUUCAAAUUAGUGAAGCAUACCGUAUUUAA